rnacentral:rRNA from 1 species
CCUACGGGUGGCAGCAGUGGGGAAUAUUGGGCAAUGGAGGCAACUCUGACCCAGCAACGCCGCGUGAAUGAUGAAGGUCUUCGGAUUGUAAAGUUCUUUUCUAAGGGAAGAAGAAAGUGACGGUACCUUAGGAAUAAGCACCGGCUAACUCCGUGCCAGCAGCCGCGGUAAUACGGAGGGUGCAAGCGUUACUCGGAAUCACUGGGCGUAAAGAGCGCGUAGGCGGGAUAGCAAGUCAGAUGUGAAAUCCUAUGGCUUAACCAUAGAACUGCAUUUGAAACUGUUAUUCUAGAGUAUGGGAGAGGUAGGUGGAAUUCUUGGUGUAGGGGUAAAAUCCGUAGAGAUCAAGAGGAAUACUCAUUGCGAAGGCGACCUGCUAGAACAUAACUGACGCUGAUGCGCGAAAGCGUGGGGAGCAAACAGGAUUAGAUACCCCAGUAGUC